ensembl:lncRNA
CAGCAGUUCCCGCCUCAGCAUCCCCCGCCUCAGCGCCCCUCGCUUCAGUAGUUGCCGCCUCAGCAGUUCCCGCCUCAGCGCCCACCUCAGCGUCCCUGUGUCUGCGUCAGCAGUUCCCGCCUCAGCCUCUUGCUGCCUUCAGCCCACCUUAGAGUCCCUCAGGCCCCCGCAGGUCAGCAGCAGGGAACUUUGACAUAGGAUUGGAAGGAAGAUCAUCAAGAUGAUGUGUUCAUCUGAAAAGACCUUGCCUCCUAGAGUCAUGAAAAUAAGUUGCUGAGAGUGACUGCUACUUGAACACAGGUGUUGUGGAAGCUCAGAUGAAGAGGAUGAGGAUGAAGGGGAAGAGGAUGUCCGAUCCCUUGG